rnacentral:rRNA from 1 species
CGCUAUUGGAGUUCGAUUAAGCCAUGCGAGUCAAGAGUCUUAGGGACUCGGCGUACCGCUCAGUAACACGUGGGUAACCUGCCCUAUGCUGGGGAAUAACCUCGGGAAACUGAGAAUAAUGCCCCAUAGUCCACAAUGCCUGGAACGGUUUGUGGAUCAAAGCUCCGGCGGCAUAGGAUGGGCCUGCGGCGUAUCAGGUUGUAGGGGGUGUAACGUACCCUCUAGCCAUCAACGCGUACGGGUGUUGGGAGACAUAGCCCGGAGAUGGAUUCUGAGACACGAAUCCAGACCCUACGGGGUGCAGCAGGCGCGAAAACUUGGCAAUGCGAGAAAUCGUGACCAGGGAACUCCAAGUGGCUGGGGUAAGACCCAGUCUUUUCUUGACUCUUCAACGGUCUUGGAAUAAGGGGUGGGUAAGGACGGUGCCAGCCGCCGCGGUAAUACCGGCGCCUCAAGUGGUAGUCGAUUUUAUUGGGCCUAAAACGUCCGUAGCCUGUUUGGUACAUUCGUGGGUAAAUCAACCAGCUCAACUGGUUGAAUUCUGCGAGCACGGCCAGACUUGGGACCGGGAGAGGUGUGGGGUACGCUCAGGGUAGGGGUAAAAUCCUGUCAUCCUGAGCGGACCACCUGUUGCGAAGGCGCCACACUAGAACGGAUCCGACGGUCAGGGACGAAGCCUAGGGGCACGAACCGGAUUAGAUACCCGGGUAGUCCUAGGUGUAAACGCUGUGGACUUGGUGUUGGGGACUCU